rnacentral:rRNA from 1 species
GGAUUAGAUACCCUGGUAGUCCACACCGUAAACGCUGUCUACUAGCUGUUUGUGUAUUUAAUACGUGAGUAGCGAAGCUAACGCGCUAAGUAGACCGCCUGGGGAGUACGGCCGCAAGGUUAAAACUCAAAUGAAUUGACGGGGGCCCGCACAAGCGGUGGAGCAUGUGGUUUAAUUCGAUGCAACGCGAAGAACCUUACCAUCCCUUGACAUCCAGAGAACUUACUAGAGAUAGUUUGGUGCCUUCGGGAACUCUGAGACAGGUGCUGCAUGGCUGUCGUCAGCUCGUGCUG